rnacentral:rRNA from 1 species
GAUCCUGGCUCAGGAUGAACGCUAGCGGCAGGCUUAACACAUGCAAGUCGAGGGGGCAGCACGAGGUAGCAAUACUUUGGUGGCGACCGGCGCACGGGUGCGUAACGCGUAUGCAACCUACCUUUAACAGGGGUAUAACACUGAGAAAUUGGUACUAAUUCCCCAUAACAUUCGAGAAGGCAUCUUCUUGGGUUAAAAACUCCGGUGGUUAAAGAUGGGCAUGCGUUGUAUUAGCUAGUUGGUGAGGUAACGGCU